GACGAACGCUGGCGGCGCGCUUAACACAUGCAAGUCGAGCGAGAACCGGGGCUUCGGCCCCGGGGAAAGCGGCGGACGGGUGAGUAACACGUGGGCACCCUGCCCUCGGCACCGGGAUAGCCCGGGGAAACCCGGAUUGAUACCGGAUGGCCUCCGGAGCCCUCGGGCGCCGGAGAAAAGGUGGCUUCGGCUUCCGGCUGAGGAGGGGCCUGCGGGGGAUUAGCUUGUUGGUGGGGUAACGGCUCACCAAGGCGACGAUCCGUAGCUGGUCUGAGAGGACGAUCAGCCACACUGGGACUGAGACACGGCCCAGACUCCUACGGGAGGCAGCAGUGGGGAAUCUUGCGCAAUGGGCGAAAGCCUGACGCAGCGACGCCGCGUGCGGGAAGAAGGCCUUCGGGUUGUAAACCGCUUUCAGGAGGGACGAAGCCACUCGGGUUAAUAGCCCAGAGGGUGACGGUACCUCCAGAAGAAGCCCCGGCUAACUACGUGCCAGCAGCCGCAGUAACAC
rnacentral:rRNA from 1 species